rnacentral:rRNA from 1 species
GAUGAACGCUGGCGGCGUGCCUAAUACAUGCAAGUCGAACGGGGAGUUUUGCUUCGGUAGAGCUCCUAGUGGCGAACGGGUGAGUAACGCGUUGGUGACCUGCCCCGAAGAGUGGGAUAACAGUUCGAAAGGGCUGCUAAUACCGCAUGUGGAUGGAGAGAUUAGAAGCUCUCUAUCGAAAGGAGCAAUCCGCUUCGGGAGGGACCUGCGACCCAUCAGCUAGUUGGUAGGGUAAAGGCCUACCAAGGCGACGACGGGUAGGGGACCUGAGAGGGUGACCCCCCACACUGGCACUGAAACACGGGCCAGACACCUACGGGUGGCAG